CCCCUAGAUGUUCUGGGCCGCACGCGCGCUACACUGAACAGUUCAACAAGUCUUAACCUUGGCCGAUAGGUCUGGGUAAUCUUUGAACGCUGUUCGUGAUUGGGAUAGACCUUUGCAAUUAUGGGUCUUCAACGAGGAAUUCCUAGUAAACGCAAGUCAUCAGCUUGCAUUGAUUACGUCCCUGCCCUUUGUACACACCGCCCGUCGCACCUGCCGAUUGAAUGGUCCGGUGAAAUCUCGGGACGGCGGCUUGGUCGCUUGCGUCCGACUGCUGAAACUUGAUUAAACCAUAUCAUUUAGAGGAAGGUGAAGUCGUANCA
rnacentral:rRNA from 1 species